AGGCGUAUUGUGUCGAUUUUUUUGAGUAAUAUACCUGGAAAUGCCCGUUGAUUCCUUAUUAACGACGUUUCGAACACAACUGGUACAUUCCAAAAUAAUCGUUACUCGGACAUCUUUACUCUUGGCCAUGAACCCCCUUUGAGUUUUUAAUUCACCCAACUCUUCUAUUUUCCGAUCAAAAGUGAAGAAGAAAGGAAUGAAAAUAAAUAAUAAAAGUUGCUAACUCAAAACCAAAUCCUGAAAGAUUUCGUUGCAAUCAAUUGCAAUCAAUAUAGUAAAUCAAUAUGUAUUAUACUAAUAGUAAAUAAGUAAUACAAUGAUUUCUAACUCGAUUUAGAAUCACAGUACGGUAUUUUCUUUAAGUAUCUUGUAGGAUACUGUUGUUCCAGCCACAUUUCUCUUUUCGCUCUACUAGUAAUUUAAUUGGAGCUUGAACCCAAGUUUUGUUGAGGUUCAAUCCACUUUUUUCGUUCUACCUUCCUUAUUUAUUUUAUAUAAUUCUUAUAUAAUUAGAAUUCUAAAAAAACUAAAUAGAAUUAUUUCUUAUAUAAUUAGAAUUCAUUUCUUAUAUAAUUAUAAUUCUAAAAACAACUAAAGUCAAGGGGGGGCGAGAGAUUAGUCACAGAUAUUUGAUUGUAUAUCGAUCUAAUCUUUUUCACCCCGUCCCGCGACAAUAACUAGAAUUAAAAAAAAGGGAAUGUUAACGCAUCCGGGAAGAAACGAUUGAUCUCUAUCAAUAAACCCGCUAAAGAACCGAACCAGAGAGUACUUAGUACCGGUGCUACGGAAAGAUAUGUUUUUAGAUCUCGCAUUUAAAAUCCUCCUUCUUUAUCGUAUUACAUACAUUAUGGUAAUACAUAUAUAAUCACAUGUAUGUGUGGUUAAAGACCACUUGUAUUUGUAUAUUUGUACCCGGAAUUCCUAAUUCAAAAUUAAAAUUUAAAUGUACAAUGAUUCGAUAGAUAAGAUUUUCCUUUUCUUAAAAACAGCAAAAUAGGUCCCUUUCUGCCUGAGAAUUCCCGCCAAAAAGAUUCAUUUAUUAUUCAUUAUAUGGUUGUUAUAUGAUAUGAGACCAAAAAGAGGAAAUGGAAAGAUAAUUUUUGUAUAUCAAUAGAUGAAAUAAGGGUGUGGAAAACAAGACAGGGAUUCUCUACAAUAACAUCGUAGGCCAAUUGAAAGGGAUGUAGCGCAGCUUGGUAGCGCGUUUGUUUUGGGUACAAAAUGUCACGGGUUCAAAUCCUGUCAUCCCUACCUAUUACUUCUCCUUUGAGCAGUAAGGAGGGAGCCAUUUUAGUUUUAGAUUGAUUAAAAUUAAGCAUACAUAAUCUAUCAUUUUCUCAUAUUAUAUAUGAUAUAUGAUAGUAUAGGUGUGCACGAUGUAUUGGGGUUAUAAAAUAAAAGAAUCCUCUUUUUUACAGUCUUAUUUAUUAUGAUAAGAAAGCGCUCUUAGUUCAGUUCGGUAGAACGUGGGUCUCCAAAACCCAAUGUCGUAGGUUCAAAUCCUACAGAGCGUGAUUCCGCUCUUGUUAAGUCGAAAAUUACACCGAACUGAAAAAAAAAAAAAAAAAAAAAAAAUUGAACAGCAAUUCGAAUUUGACCUCCUUGAAUUAAAUUAAUUAAAUUAAAAUUAAAGGGGUCAGUCAAAAAAAGAGAUGUUAAUUAAUCAAAGGUCCAACUGAUCACCACGUAUGUAUUGUAAAUAUGCGGUUACGAAUAAUCCAGCCAAAGUAAUAGGAAUUAGACCUAAGACGAUUCCAAAUAGAAAAACUUCAAUCAUUUCAAUUUAUUUGAAAGGAGAAAAAGAAAGGUAAUAUCUAUCCCUAAAUAUUAAUCUCUAUUGCCCAUGAAUAUCAAUAACUAAUAAUUGAUAAUUAACACGGUAAGGAACUAUAGAAUAUAUGGAAUAGGACAGAAAACUUUGUUUUUAUUAAUUGUUCGUUCAUUCAAUUAAUUUUCAAAUAAGUCGUAUCUUACUCAGACCAAUAAAUAGAGCUGAGGUUAUAGUUAAAGCCGCUAGUAAAAAACCGAAAUAACUAGUUAGAGUAGGCAUGAAGGAGCUAAAUGAAAUAUGUUCUUUUUAUACAUAUGUUUAUAAAGCACUUACCUAAGUUUCAAUUUUUAAAAGAGACGGGGAUAAGCAAAAAUACCAAUUGAAAGAAUAAGUUCAAUUGAAAUUUUUUGAUUCAUCAAUCAUUCUAAACGGUAUUCACAAAAAUAGAGCGGCAGGACAAGAGUAGAAAAGAAAAAGAAAUAGAUUCAUCAUCUUUGUAGUUAGGUCAAGAAAAACCUUUGGAUCUAAUACAAGAAUACAAGAAAGGCCGCCUCACAAAUAUUGAUUAGUAGAAUUUUUUUUUUAUUCCUUGCUCUUUUUUUUAUCUAUAUCUAAUACUAUCGACUACUCUUACUUGUUACUAGACGACUAAGCAAUUCCUUAAAAUAAAAAAAGGAGGGCUUACAACAAAAAACAAAACCUCUUAUGCAAUUACGAAAAAAAGUCAAU
rnacentral:lncRNA from 1 species